UCUCUCGUCUCUCGUCUCUCGUCUCUCGUCUCUCGUCUCUCGUCUCUCGUCCGUCAUCUCUAAAGUCUUAGGCCAGCCGCUACUCCUUGGCUCCUCGCUGAGUGCUCGCAGGUCGCAGCCCGCCACUGCUCAGUGCUCGCGACUCGAAGGUUAAUGCUUCUAUAUAGAGAAUAUCAACUAGCAACACAGCCACAACCACAACCCACAGGUCACUGUUAAUUGGUAAGUUGCAAGUUAAAUGUUGUUGAAAUUUGAAGGCAAAAGACAAACUGUAUGGCAUAGAUUGUUGGAGUUUGGAGAGUUGUUGAGUGUUGAUUGUUAUAGAAGUUUGUUGAUUGUUGUA